CUACGGGACGCUACAGUGGGGAAUAUUGCACAAUGGAGGAAACUCUGAUGCAGCAACGCCGCGUGGAGGAUGACACUUUUCGGAGCGUAAACUCCUUUUAUAUAGGAAGAAGAUGACGGUACUAUAUGAAUAAGCGCCGGCUAACUCCGUGCCAGCAGCCGCGGUAAUACGGAGGGCGCAAGCGUUACUCGGAAUCACUGGGCGUAAAGAGCGUGUAGGCGGAUUAAAAAGUCAGAAGUGAAAUCCUAUAGCUUAACUAUAGAACUGCUUCUGAAACUCUUAAUCUAGAAUAUGGGAGAGGUAGAUGGAAUUGCUGGUGUAGGGGUAAAAUCCGUAGAGGUCAGAAGGAAUACCGAUUGCGGAGGCGAUCUACUAGAACAUUAUUGACGCUGAGACGCGAAAGCGUGGGGAGCAAACAGGAUUAGAUACCCGGGUAGUC
rnacentral:rRNA from 1 species